rnacentral:sRNA from 1 species
UGUCGAGGGUGAUGCCUAAAUAUUUGGCC